CCUACGGGUGGCAGCAGUCGGGAAUAUUGCGCAAUGGAGGAAACUCUGACGCAGUGACGCCGCGUGCAGGAAGAAGGUUUUCGGAUUGUAAACUGCUUUAGACAGGGAAGAAACAAGACAGUACCUGUAGAAUAAGCUCCGGCUAACUACGUGCCAGCAGCAGCGGUAAUACGGAGGGAGCAAGCGUUAUCCGGAUUUAUUGGGUGUAAAGGGUGCGUAGGCGGGAAGGCAAGUUGGGUGUGAAAUCCCUCGGCUUAACUGAGGAACUGCAACCAAAACUAUCUUUCUUGAGUGCUGUAGAGGAGAGUGGAAUUCCUAGUGUAGCGGUGAAAUGCGUAGAGAUGAGGAGGAACACCAGUGGCGAAGGCGACUUUCUGGACAUUAACUGACGUUGAGGCACGAAAGUGUGGGGAGCAAACAGGAUUAGAUACCCUAGUAGUC
rnacentral:rRNA from 1 species